rfam:Alligator sinensis unplaced genomic scaffold scaffold87_1, whole genome shotgun sequence
GCCUGACUAGCUCAGUUGGUAGAACAUGGGGCUCUUAAUCCCAGGGCCGUGGGUUCAAGCCCCAUGUUGGGUG